rnacentral:rRNA from 1 species
UACGAAGGGUGCAAGCGUUACUCGGAAUUACUGGGCGUAAAGCGUGCGUAGGUGGUGAGUUAAGUCUUUCGUGAAAGCCCCGGGCUCAACCUGGGAAUGGCGAUGGAUACUGGCUCGCUAGAGUGCGGUAGAGGAGAGUGGAAUUCCCGGUGUAGCAGUGAAAUGCGUAGAGAUCGGGAGGAACAUCAGUUGCGAAGGCGGCUCUCUGGACCAGCACUGACACUGAGGCACGAAAGCGUGGGGAGCAAACAGG